AUUGAACGCUGGCGGCAUGCUUUACACAUGCAAGUCGAACGGUAACAGGCCGCAAGGUGCUGACGAGUGGCGAACGGGUGAGUAAUGCAUCGGAACGUGCCCAGUCGUGGGGGAUAACGCAGCGAAAGCUGGGCUAAUACCGCAUACGAUCUAUGGAUGAAAGCGGGGGACCGUAAGGCCUCGCGCGAUUGGAGCGGCCGAUGUCAGAUUAGGUAGUUGGUGGGGUAAAGGCUCACCAAGCCAACGAUCUGUAGCUGGUCUGAGAGGACGACCAGCCACACUGGGACUGGGACCCGGCCCAGACUCCUACGGGAGGCGGCAGUGGGGAAUUUUGGACAAUGGGCGCAAGCCUGAUCCAGCAAUGCCGCGUGCAGGAAGAAGGCCUUCGGGUUGUAAACUGCUUUUGUACGGAACGAAACGGCUCUGGUUAAUACCUGGGGCUAAUGACGGUACCGUAAGAAUAAGCACCGGCUAACUACGUGCCAGCAGCCGCAGUAA
rnacentral:rRNA from 1 species